rnacentral:lncRNA from 1 species
GGUGGAGUAUCAUAAGAAAGGUGUUAAGAAUUGGGUCAAAACCACAGACAAGCUAUCACCCAUAGGGGCAACAAUCACCAGAGGCAAAACGGUGAGAAAAUGAAUUAAUGAUUUUAUUUACUGCUUCUCGCCCCUCCCUCCACACACUUUCUUUGUCUGUAAAACAUUAGCAUUGACCAGUGUCUAAGUUUGCCAAACACAGAAAGGAAGGAGAAAGCUGAGAGAAAAAAGAAAAAUUUGUUUGAUAUUCCUACAGUUAAGACUUGAUCUUUGGAAGGCUGGGAUUUCCAUUGGUCCCCAAAAGUGACACUAUUUCUCAAUGAAUGCCCAAAUCUCUCUCUCUGGACUUUUUGCCUAAGCUCUUGUGUUUUAUUAAUUAUGUAAUAUAUCGACAAUUUUAGAAGAAUGACUAAUAGUACUACAGAAACAUGGGUAUAAGUAAGUGAAGCUUCAGUGUAUGAUCAUGUAGGCUUGAUAUCAACCCCAGGGUAGCUAGCCAUCUUUUCAGAAGUGUGUGUGAGGAGUUUAACACCAACCCAUUGCUACAGUACUUAAAAUCUGGCAGCACAGUGAGUUAUUGCCUGGCAGUGGAUGGCACUUCAGAUGAAUUUGGAAAGUUAAAUUAACCCUGAAAUAUAUUAUUUGUUGUCUGUUUCCCAUUCAGGAAAGAGAUCUUCAUGUAAACAGAGUCCCUCUUAUUGGCUGAAGCGAAGAGUCAUUCUGAGUUACAGCCUGCACAAUGAUUUUUAUGGUACUACACUACUCUGCCAAGUGAGGACAGCAAUAUAAUUUUCUCAUUGAAGAACACGUGGAAAAUAGAGCAAGAGAAAAAAUUUAUAUAUAACCCCAUCCCGCAAAGGCACUUGGACAUGGAUGAAUCUGGAGAAUGUCAUCCUCAGCAAACUGACACAAGAACAGAAAAUGAAACACCGCAUAUUCUCACUCAUAGGCGG